UAGACACCCAGACAAUAUAAUGCAUCUAUUAGGUAGGUUAAUAAAUAGCUCAAUGUCAAGUGCCAAAUAAGUCAAGAUGUGGUCGUCAGCGCCCUCUUGUGGACAAUGAAUCAGUGUUGUUCAGAUCAUGAGCUCGUGGUGUUCAGUCGCAGAUGACUUCUGUUGGAAUGGAUCUACACUGAUGUCUGUUUUAGUACUCCAGUCCUGGGGACCAACAGAUCUCCACAUUUUACAUGUCUCUCUUAUCAAAUACACACAGGUUCCUGAAAACAGGUUGUGAAUCAGGCCCCGUAUUCACAGAAUCUUUUAUCUUCUCCUCAACAUCAGAAAAAAAUUUAAGCUAAGAGUUUCUUUUACAACUUAUUCACAAAGCUGCAGAUUUAAAGGUUUAAGCUAAGAAUGAGGGCGGGUUCAGCUCAUUGCUAUGGAUGAUGUCAGCAUGCUUAUUAACUAUGCACACAGUGACUGGAUGAUAAGCAGGUGAGGAGUCUCUGUCAGAAAUGUGUUGAUAGACACUUUGCAGAGGACAAUAUCAUGUAGCCAUGUUCAAAUAAAGGUUUUAAAAUGCA